CUCCAGGAUGUCAGCGGUGGGGAUCUCCAUGGAUUCUGUUCCUCCGUAGUACAGAUACUGCAUCAUCAUCUGUGGUGGGAAGAGGCCCGGGUGAAUGCCACGUGGACCUGAGGCAUGAAAGUCCUUGCCGGCCCCACAGGGUACUGCUCCAGCUGCCACCUCCAGGGGCCUGUCCCUCUGCAGAGCCCCAGCUCUGUCUCUCCCUCCCUCUCCUGCUCAGGCUGCGACUUGUGUUUUCCCGGGAACGCCACCUCUAGAAGCCACCUCCAAGACACUCUCUCCUGAGUCCCUGCCUGGAUGACAAGCUCCCUCCGCGGAAUGUUUCCCUACAAUCAUAAGAACACCGUGAGCCCAGGAGGGAAGUUCCUAUCCGCAGUUGGGGAAACUGAGGCCCAGGGAAGGAAGAUGACUUGGCUCAAGUCCCUCAGCUCCCCGAUGCCUGCAGCAGGACUCGCGGCAUGCCUGGCCCCACGUGACUCAUUGCUGGUGUGAUCUAGAUUCUACACAGGGAGUAGCAGUGGGGGGGUCUCUGAAGGGAUGUUGGAGGACGCUGUCUCCUGCCUUCCCCUGUCUGUACAAGGACUCCAAUGUAGAGGUGAGAGUCCACCCGGACUCUGUCUCAGGUGUGCUCCCUCAAAAAGAAAGCGCAGAGCCCAGGCCCAUAGGCCCGGAGCUCCCCUCGACAGGUUGAGCCCCGCCUUGGGCUCCCAGAUGAGGUGGUCCAGGACUAGGAACUAUUUAGUUCUGCUGAGGUUUCAGUUACAAACGCAGCCAUCACGCUGGAGCCUAGUGAGGUUCCCAGUUGGAAAAAGAAAAACAAUUCUUUCUGGCUGGCUGAAGAAACGGCCCCAGCAAGGAGCUGGCAAGUGUGUAAGUAAACACGGCUCCAGCCGGCAUAGUCGGGCUCUGUCAAGACCGGCCGUGAGGCUGCAGAGGCACCAGAGGGUCUAGGAGAAGGCCCAACUGCAGGGAGAGAAGUCGGGAGAUGGGCCUGCCAGCCUCGUUCAGGCAUCAGGAGACGUUGGCCAAGGCCCACCCUGGAGAUGUCAGCCUCUCCCCACCUCUAGAGGUCUGGGAAGCUCCCACAGCCUUCUGCAGCCCCUGCUGGAGCCUGGAUGGCGAGCUUAUGAUUGCAUAGUAAGCUGCCCAGACCACCUGUCUAGCGGUGAGAGCUCAGUACCCAUGCAACAGGCUCUGAAGCUGCAGCCCCACAAUGGGAUGGCUGCCUCUGCACAGGGAAAGACCUGGAUGCUCUACUGAUUCAACAAAAUACAGAAGGCACUGGGAAUAGAGUGGACAAUGUCAGCCUACGCACAGCUGCCCACAAAGGUGAGCUCCUGGGGGAGGGUCAUCCCUCCGAGAAGAGGGCGGCACCAAGACCCACACACCUGAAAAAUAUGGUACUUCAUGUCGCUGAUCUCAAUGGUCUUGCUGCUGUCCCCAUCCUGUUCUGAUUUAUUGGUCAUUAGUGUCUUGAACCUGGAGUAAAGGAGACAAAGCAAGGCGGAUUUUGAACCUUUUACUCCACCACUGUGUGGCGAUGGCACCAUUUGCCACCUGACUGGCUACCAUGAGACGGAGCAUUUUAAAAAUUACUGCUGUGCUCCUAAAAUAAUUUUCAGCAAGUGCCAUUUUACACAAUCUUAGGAAGACAUCUGGGCUGAGCCCGAUUCUGUUCUCACCACCCACCAUACAAGCGACCUGACUCCUGUGGCCAGAAUGCUGACUCUUCAUUCCAGAAUAUGUUUGCUAAUAAUCAAAGCAAUAACUCGGCCAGAAAGAACACCACCUCAGAGACCCCCUUCCCUGCUGCCCCGGGUCCACCCUGCCUUGCCCCGCUGUGGGGCGAGUGGGGCUCUGCUGCCACGUGACCGCAGUCUGAGGGGCACAGGCUGUAGGGUACAGCCCCAGCGAGUCACUCUCUGUCACCUCGAAUCUGAAACAAGGUGCUUCUGUGCCAUGGGCUGGGAGUUUGUUAUCUGAGGCUGCCUACCUGUUAGAAGCUGUCACCAGCAGGACUUUAUGUGCAUAAAACAGCUUUCCUUCCACUAGGAAGGUCACAUCCGA